rnacentral:rRNA from 1 species
UGAAGUAAGUAAGGGCGUACGGUGAAUGCCUUGGUGCCAACAGGCGAAGAAGGACGCGGCAAGCUGCGAAAAGCCUCGGGAAGCUGCAAGCAAGCGAUGAUCCGGGGAUAUCCGAAUGGGGUAACCUGAUCGAGGCAAUACUCGAUCGUUCAUACCUGAAUACAUAGGGUAUGAAACGCGAAACCCGCUGAAGUGAAACAUCUCAGUAAGCGGAGGAAAAGAAAGAGAAAUCGAUUCCGUAAGUAGUGGCGAGCGAAAGCGGAUGGAGCCCAAACCGAAGGUAUUCCUUCGGGGUUGUAGGACCACGUCAUAUUCGACCAUACUGGAUAGUAGAACAGCCUGGAAAGGCUGGCCGGAGAAGGUGAAAGCCCUGUAGACGAAAUCCAGAGUGGGAAUUAGUGGUAUCCUGAGUAAUACAUCACACGUGGAACGAUGUAUGAACCCGCGCGGACCACCGCGCAAGGCUAAAUACUAGUUGGCGACCGAUAGUGAACAAGUACCGCGAGGGAAAGGUGAAAAGAACCGCUGUGAGCGGAGUGAAAUAGAACCUGAAACCGUAUGUCUACAAAGUGUCAGAGCAGAGCAAUCUGCGAUGGCGUGCCUUUUGUUUAAUGAGUCUGCGAGUCAGUGUUUGUGGCAAGACUAAGGGCUUCCGGCCCGGAGUCGCAGCGAAAGCAAGUCCGAACAGGGCGCAAUAAGUCGCAGGUACUGGACCCGAAGCGGAGGUGACCUACCCUUGGCCAGGUUGAAGCAUGGGUAAAACCAUGUGGAGGACCGAACAGGUGAACGUUGAAAAGUUCUCUGAUGAGCUGAGGGUAGGAGUGAAAGGCUAAUCAAACCCCGUGAUAGCUGGUUCUCUUCGAAAUGCAUUUAGGUGCAGCGUCACGUGCUGAUGCGCGGGGGUAGAGCACUGACAAGGCUAGGGGGCACACCCGCUUACCAAACCUUAUCAAACUCCGAAUACCGUGCAAUGGAACGUGGCAGUGAGACAGUGGGGGAUAAGCUUCAUUGUCGAGAGGGAAACAACCCAGACCAGCAGCUAAGGUGCCUAAAUAACGCUCAGUGGAAAGGAUGUGGGAUUACACAGACAGUGAGGAUGUUGGCUUAGAAGCAGCCACCAUUUAAAAAAUGCGUAAUAGCUUACUCAUCGAGUGAUCCUGCGCCGAAAAUGAUUGGCGAUCAAGCGUUAUACCGAAGCUCUGGACUUUGCCGCAAGGCAGAGUGGUAGAAGAGCGUUGCAUGCGCGUCGAAGGGCGAUGGCGACUGACCCUGGAGCACAUGCAAGUGAGUAUGCAGACAUGAGUAACGUUAAGCCGGGUGAAAUCCCCGGCCGCCGUAAACCCGAGGUUUCCAGGGCAACGUGUUUCGUCCCUGGGUUAGCCGGGACCUAAGCCGAGGCCGAGAGGCGUAGGCGAUGGACAUCAGGUUAAUAAUCCUGAGCUCGCAACCCUUAAACUGGGGGGACGCAUGAGAAAAGAUGACUAGGUUAUUGAAUUCCGAGUUGAGUCUACGGACUCAGCGCAUCAUUGGAUCGAGUGCCAAGAAAAGCCCCAGCGUAUGCUAAGCGACCCGUACCGCAAACCGACACAGGUGGGUGGGUAGAAUAUACCAAGGCGUAAGAGUGAAACCUGGUUAAGGAACUCGGCAAAUUAGCCCCGUAACUUCGGAAGAAGGGGUGCCUGCAGCGAUGCAGGCCGCAGAGAAAUGGCCCAACCGACUGUUUAUCAAAAACACAGCACUCUGCAAAGACGCAAGUCGAAGUAUAGGGUGUGACACGUGACCAAUGCCGAAAGAUUAAGGCAAGGGGUUAGCCGCAAGGCGAAGCUCUAAACCCAAGUCCCGGUGAAUGUCGGCCGUAACUAUAACGGUCCUAAGGUAGCGAAAUUCCUUGUCGGGUAAGUUCCGACCUGCACGAAUCGUGAAACGAGUUGGGCACUGUCUCAACCAGGCGCUCAGUGAAAUUGUAGUGGCGGUGAAGAUGCCGCCUACCCGCAGAAGGACGGAAAGACCCUAUAGACCUUAACUGUAAGCUGUCAUUGUUUCUUCGGUUUUAAUGCUCAGAGUAAGUGGGAGACGCUGAAGACGCCCUUUAGGGGGCGUCCGAGUCAUCAAUGAGACACCACCCUUUGAAACUGGAGGAUCUAACCCUGAGCCGUGAAUCCGGCCAGAGGACCGUGUCAGCCGGUCAGUUUUACUGGGGCGGUAUCCUCCCAAAGAGUAACGGAGGAGCGCGAAGGUGGGCUCAGCCCGGUUGGCAACCGGGUGUCGAGUGCAUGGGCAUAAGCCCGCCUAACUGUGAGACCAACAAGUCGAGCAGAUGCGAAAGCAGGCCCAAGUGAUCCGGCGGUAGAAAGUGGAAUUGCCGUCGCUCAACGGAUAAAAGGUACCUUAGGGAUAACAGGCUGAUCACGCCCAAGAGUUCAUAUCGACGGCGUGGUUUGGCACCUCGAUGUCGGCUCGUCGCAUCCUGGGGC